GGAUCGGUAGCUCAGUGGUAGAGCGUGGGAUUGCAGUCCAAACAACAGCAGUUAUCCUAAGGUCUCGUGUUCGACCCACGAUCGGUCCU